AAAAAGUUAUAAAAUAUUUCAAUGUUUGGAUCUGUCCUUUGAGGUGAGCAUUUUCUGCACUACAUCAAUUCUAAGCAUGAAAUCAAAGCAACGUUGAGUAGCGUUUUAGAUGGGAUUUUGAUCCAUGGUGCAUGAUAUGGGAAGGUUGCCCAACACGCAGGCAAUGAGUUGCAAGCAUUGCACUGUGGACAUUGCAAUAUAAGAUAUCAAUGAAAAAUUCAAUGUGGAUUGAGAUCAGUUGUG
rnacentral:lncRNA from 1 species